GAACUGAAGAGUUUGAUCAUGGCUCAGAUUGAACGCUGGCGGCAGGCCUAACACAUGCAAGUCGAGCGGAUGAAGGGAGCUUGCUCCUGGAUUCAGCGGCGGACGGGUGAGUAAUGCCUAGGAAUCUGCCUGGUAGUGGGGGAUAACGUCCGGAAACGGGCGCUAAUACCGCAUACGUCCUGAGGGAGAAAGUGGGGGAUCUUCGGACCUCACGCUAUCAGAUGAGCCUAGGUCGGAUUAGCUAGUUGGUGGGGUAAAGGCCUACCAAGGCGACGAUCCGUAACUGGUC
rnacentral:rRNA from 1 species